rnacentral:rRNA from 1 species
UACGUAGGGUGCGAGCGUUGUCCGGAUUUAUUGGGCGUAAAGAGCUCGUAGGCGGUUUGUCGCGUCUGCUGUGAAAACCCGAGGCUCAACCUCGGGCCUGCAGUGGGUACGGGCAGACUAGAGUGCGGUAGGGGAGAUUGGAAUUCCUGGUGUAGCGGUGGAAUGCGCAGAUAUCAGGAGGAACACCAAUGGCGAAGGCAGAUCUCUGGGCCGUAACUGACGCUGAGGAGCGAAAGCAUGGGGAGCGAACGGG